AAGGUGGCGAAGGUUUUGGAAUUGGCUAAUUUGAUGAGGGCUGUGGGUAGGGCCCCUUCCAAGCGCUCCUUCUUCUAGCUAUGCUUUCGCUCCCUCCCCCUGUUUCACGUUUUGUUAUUUCAACAAAUACUUUAGGGUUUGAUGUGCUGUAAGUUAAACAAGCCUUGGAACCUUUCAGUUUUAGUGAGUUCUGCUGUGAUUUGAAUGAAGUCUUACUGAAAAGAGGCAGAAUCUAUUGCAAGGGUGAAGGCCAAGUUUGCUGUAGAUUAAUUAGUAUGUAUGUUUGAUAAUCAAUUAAUGUGUUGCCUGGCAUUUUUCCUUGUAUCGAUUUGUCUAUCAAUAAGUUUGGCUCUUUUCUUUUUAUUUUUUUGUGAGUACGGAGCUAAUAAUCUUAUCUUCUAUAUUUGUUGACGUUAUGAUAAGUAUGGCAUCUGUUAUCUUUUGAGAAGCUAAAAAUAUGGCUCACCUAAUGCGUGCUCGGCCAAGGGAGAUGGAAGUAUGGUCCAUUGUCUCCCCUAUUGCAAUUGAAAAGGGCAAUUUGGGGAUGAUCAGAUGCUAAUAUUAAGAGAAAUUGGAUGACAAGGUUGUCGAGUACUUCGAUUUGCUGUAGG
rnacentral:lncRNA from 1 species